AUUGGAGUCAAGCAGCAGUGCAUUCCUGUACUCCCAGCUAUUUCGGACAUUGAGCAAGGAGGAUUGCUUGAGUCCAAGAGUUCUGGGCUGUAGUGCACUACACUGAUUGGUUGUCUGCACUAAGUUCGGCAUCAGUAUGGUGACUUCCUGGGAGUGGGGACCACCAGGUUGCCUAAGGAAGGGUGAACCAGCCCAGGUCAGAAAUGGAGCAAGUCGAAACUCCCAUGCUGAUCAGUAGUGGGUAGUGCCUGUGAAUAGCCACUGCACUCCAGCCUGGACAAUAUAGCAAGACCCUAUCUCUU
ensembl:misc_RNA Metazoa_SRP Metazoan signal recognition particle RNA